UUGUCUCAAAGAUUAAGCCAUGCAUGUCUAAGUAUAAGCAAUUAUACAGCGAAACUGCGAAUGGCUCAUUAUAUAAGUUAUCGUUUAUUUGAUAGUACCUUACUACUUGGAUAACCGUGGUAAUUCUAGAGCUAAUACAUGCUAAAAAUCCCGACUUCGGAAGGGAUGUAUUUAUUAGAUUAAAAACCAAUGCCCUCUGGGCUCCUUGGUGAUUCAUGAUAACUUCUCGAAUCGCAUGGCCUUGCGCCGGCGAUGGUUCAUUCAAAUUUCUUCCCUAUCAACUUUCGAUGUUUGGGUAGUGGCCAAACAUGGUUGCAACGGGUAACGGAGGGUUAGGGCUCGACCCCGGAGAAGGAGCCUGAGAAACGGCUACUACAUCCAAGGAAGGCAGCAGGCGCGCAAAUUACCCAAUCCCGAUUCGGGGAGGUAGUGACAAUAAAUACUGAUACAGGGCUCUUUUGGGUCUUGUAAUUGGAAUGAGUACAAUUUAAAUCCCUUAACGAGGAACAAUUGGAGGGCAAGUCUGGUGCCAGCAGCCGCGGUAAUUCCAGCUCCAAUAGCGUAUAUUAAAGUUGUUGUGGUUAAAAAGCUCGUAGUUGAACCUUGGGCCUGGCUGGCCGGUCCGCCUCACCGCGUGUACUGGUCCGGCCGGGUCUUUCCCUCUGUGGAACCCCAUGCCCUUCACUGGGUGUGGCGGGGAAACAGGACUUUUACUUUGAAAAAAUUAGAGUGCUCCAGGCAGGCCUAUGCUCGAAUACAUUAGCAUGGAAUAAUGAAAUAGGACGUGCGGUUCUAUUUUGUUGGUUUCUAGGACCGCCGUAAUGAUUAAUAGGGACAGUCGGGGGCAUCAGUAUUCAAUUGUCAGAGGUGAAAUUCUUGGAUUUAUUGAAGACUAACUACUGCGAAAGCAUUUGCCAAGGAUGUUUUCAUUAAUCAGGAACGAAAGUUAGGGGAUCGAAGACGAUCAGAUACCGUCGUAGUCUUAACCAUAAACUAUGCCGACUAGGGAUCGGACGAUGUUAUUUAUUGACUCGUUCGGCACCUUACGAGAAAUCAAAGUGCUUGGGCUCCAGGGGGAGUAUGGUCGCAAGGCUGAAACUUAAAG
rnacentral:rRNA from 3 species